ACCCGCUGAAUUUAAGCAUAUAAUUAAGCGGAGGAAAAGAAACUAACCAGGAUUCCCCCAGUAAGGGCGACUGAAGCGGGAAGUGCUCAAGAUGUGAAUCUGCGCGCAAGCGCCGAAUUGUGGUCUGUAGACGGUGGCAUUACCAGCCGGGCCAAGUUCCUUGGAAAAGGGCAGCUGAGAGGGUGAGACUCCCGUCCGCCUGGCAGGGUGAGCUACCAGUCGACGAGUCGAGUUGUUUGGGAUUGCAGCUCAAAGUGGGUGGUAAAUUCCAUCGAAAGCUCAAUAUCGGUGGGAGACCGAUAGCGUACAAGUACCGUGAGGGAAAGAUGCAAAGAACUUUGAAAAGAGAGUUAAAGAGUACCUGAAACUGCUGAAAAGGAAGCGAAGGAAACCAGUGUUUGCAUAGUCAUAUUUCCCUGGCCGCUUGCGGCUUGGGCGCUGUGUCUGGCAAGACGUUGUCUUUGGUUGAGUUCAUUGGAAGAGCCUUUGGGGGAGUUGACCCCAACUGCUGGCACUGAUCCCAACUGAGCACGACGAAAUGGAUUUCUUUACCCCGUCUUGAAACACGGACCAAGG
rnacentral:rRNA from 1 species